rnacentral:lncRNA from 1 species
AUGACAAUUUCCCUUGUAUCAUAUUGGCUCUUUGCCAGAGGAAUACAGUUUUUAAACUGAGAGGAUGAAAAUCUAGUGGAAGAAUUCUGAAAAAGGAGAGAUGCAUGUGCGAUAAUAAUUGAACAAGAACAAAAGUGUUCAAGGAAAGGAGUCUGCUCUGGAAUAAGGAUAAAAUCUGUGGCCACAGAACAGAACAAAGUUAAUUGAACAACAUCCAUGAAGUGACUUGGAGAGAUUUUGGUCUAUUAGCAAAGGUAAUAUUAAUAAUAUUUGCCCUAAAGACAAGCAGCUCAAAGUGUUUCCCUAAUAUCAGUUGAGUAGGAGGUGGUAACAAUCUCCACAUGAGGGAAUGGCUAGAGAUGGGAAG